CCGGCACGGGUGAGUAACACGUAUCCAACCUGCCGUCUACUCUUGGACAGCCUUCUGAAAGGAAGAUUAAUACAAGAUGGCAUCAUGAGUUCACAUGUUCACAUGAUUAAAGGUAUUCCGGUAGACGAUGGGGAUGCGUUCCAUUAGAUAGUAGGCGGGGUACGGCCCACCUAGUCUUCGAUGGAUAGGGGUUCUGAGAGGAAGGUCCCCCACAUUGGAACUGAGACACGGUCCAA
rnacentral:rRNA from 1 species